rnacentral:misc_RNA from 1 species
GAUGAAGAACGUAGCGAAAUGCGAUACGUAAUGUGAAUUGCAGAAUUCAGUGAAUCAUCGAAUCUUUGAACGCAUAUUGCGCUCUUUGGUAUUCCGAAGAGCAUGCUUGUUUGAGUAUCAGUAAACACCUCAAAGACUUCAAUUUGUUUUGAAUGGCUUUGGACUUGAGCAAUCCCAACACCAGUCUUUACGAUCGGUGGAGGGUUGCUUGAAAUGUAGGUGCAGCUGGACAUUCUCCUGAGCUAAAAGCAUAUUUAUUUAGUCCCGUCAAACGGAUUAUUACUUUUGCUGCAGCUAACAUAAAGGGAGUUUGACCGUAUUGGCUGACUGAUGCAGGAUUUCACAAGGGUCGGCAACGAUUCUUGUAAAACUCGAUCUCAAAUCAAGUAAGACUACCCGCUGAACUUAAGCAUAUCAAUAAGCGGAGGA